rnacentral:misc_RNA from 1 species
AAGUCCACUUUGGACCGAUAGUCCUCUCCAAAACUCCUGCUCAAAAAUUUAGAAUUAAUGUAGCCAAAACUGCUGAUUUUGGUUAGAAGUGAAUGAAUCUGAUGGACUAAUUCUGGAUGUAAUGGUUUUGUAUAAAAUUUGGUUUUGUAAAAACUCAAUGAAUGAUUGAGCUACCAUGAUAUGAUCCUCAUGAUAUUUAAUUCUGCUAAGGAGGUCAGCCACAUAUUUAUUAGCUUCCUCAAACUCAAUACAAAGUGCAUUGAGAGCUGUUACUCCCAAUCGUUUGUUUUAUAUUAAAGUCCAAAGAUUGUCUAAUAAACAUUG